GCCUUCCAAGAAAAACACCUCCAGGAGAAACAAGCAUGUGAGGAAUAUAGUGAUGGAAUACUCUUAAAUUCAUCCAUGGAUAAGCUCUUCUUACUCAUGCAAGCACCUCUCUCAUUCCAAAUCAACUAUAUUCUACAUUAAUGAAGAGGAAGGACAGAAAAGUCACCAUUUUUCACACCAGGGAAAAUACUGAGAAGUCCAUCCCUACUGCUAUUGCCAAUUAUACACUUCUUUGGCUCUUGAAAUCCCAC